rnacentral:lncRNA from 10 species
AGUACACCAAAUACAUAUUAUAUACUGUACAUAAAAUAUCAAAAACUACAGCAAAUACAUAUUAUAUACUGUAAAUAAAAUAUCAAAAAUUACACCAAAUACAUAUUAUAUGCUGUACACAAAAUAUCAAAGUACCCAAAAUACGUAUUAUAUACUGUACAUAAGAUAUCAAAGUACACUUAAUACAUAUUAUAUACUAUACAUAAUAUAUCAAAGUACACAAAAUAUAUAUUAUAUGCUGUACAUAUAAUAUCAAAGUAUACAUAAUAUAUAUUAUACACUGUACUUAAAAUACCAAAGUACACAAAAUAUAUAUUAUAUACUGUACAUAAAAUAUCAAAGUACACCAAAUACAUAUUAUAUACUGUACAUAAAAUAUCAAAGUACACCAAAUACAUAUUAUAUACUGUUCAUAAAAUAUCAAAGUACACAAAUUACAUGUUAUAUACUGUACAUAAAAUAUCAAUGUGCACCAAAUACAUAUUAUAUACUGUACAUAAAAUAUCAAAGUACACAAAAUACAUAUUAUACACUGUACAUAAAAUAUCAAAGUAUGCAAAACAUAUAUACUGCACAUAAAAUAUCAACUUACACGAAGUAUAUAUUAUAUACUGUACAUAAAAUAUCAAAGUACACCGAAUAUAUAUUAUAUACUGAACAUAAAAUAUCAAAUCACACAUAUUAUAUAUUAUAUACUGUACAUAAAAUAUCAAAGUACACCAAAUACAUAUUAUAUACUGUACAUGAAAUAUCAAAGUACACCAAAUACAUAUUAUAUACUGUACAUAAAAAGCAACGUACACAAAAUAUAUAUUAUAUACUGUACAUAAAAU